CAGAGACACACGGCCAGACAUUACACAGUUAGAUGUCUCCAUCAAAUUUCUCCUCUCAUAGCUCAGGGAACCCUGCAGAAGAUGGGGCAAAAGGAGUGGGAGGCACAGAGGGGGCCCCCAUAACCCAAGGAGAACAAGGCUCUCUAAAUCAACUGAGAAAAGCUCAUAUGACCUCACAGAGACUGAAGUAGCAAGCCCAGGGCCUACACUGUCUACACCAGGUCCAGGUCCUCUGCGUAAGGGGUGGAGGGGAGCUGGCGGCUGGGGCUCUAGGAAGCAUGUCCCAUGCCCUGUUCUGGAGAUGGUGGGCUUCAGCAAGCAUCAAGGAAGACAGGGCACCUCCCUCGCUGACAGUAUGGAAAUGAAGAGAUUCUAUUUCUACACUCACAUCCCUUGCUGAAAAUCUUAGAAGGCCAGGAGAUCACUUCACCAACAUCAAGGUUUCUUCUGUUGAAAUAUAAAAGGCAAGCUAUAACUGAGGAACCCAGCUAGUGGAACCACUUGGACUUUAAUCACUUUUUACUUCACUUGGGGGUCAAGGUAAGAAAGACCACACUGCAUUUUGUAUUUUUAGUACCUUCAAUAUGCUUUGUUAUAGUGCAUGUAUUAAACUAUCUCAUUGCACCUUUUCUGUUGCACUAUAUGAUUAUUUUUAAGUGACAAGGAAACUAAGGUGACCACCACUGGGGAUAUGCCAGGUGACAAAUGUAGCAGAGCAUGGAUGCAAAUCCACCUCAACCACACAGCAAGGCUCAUGCACUUUCCAUCAUAAUUUCUGUCUUUUGCUGGAGGGCUACUAAAUGUCAACCUUCUUUUCUCAUUGACAUUAGGGACAAUUUGAUUGACACAGAGAGAAUGCUUCCUAGUCCAGAAUUUAAAUUCAGCCCCAUGAAGAGUUUUGGAAUUUACAGUACCACCUGUAAACGUUUCUAACCAGGCUAUCGUCAGGUAGCCCCAUUAAGUCUGCUUCCAUCAGUGAUGAUGGUCAGGAACUAAAGUUGGUCUCUGUUGGAGAUGGUACCCUGGAGCUUGCUGUGGCAGGAACUCUUGUCAGUGGUAGUUGCUACCAGCCCUCACCAGGUUGUUGUUUCAUCAUCUCCUCUCAAGGCAAUGUCUUAGCAACAAGACAAACCAUAGUCUUUCAUGGGCUUGUUAGCUGUAGGCAGUUUUGUGCCAUAAUUUUGGCUGCCUCUCUAGCCAUGGUUUAUAUUACCUAAGGUUAUGAAGUAUUCAGCCUCCUCUUCAUGUACAGUGAGCAUUAUUCCCCCAUAGAAAUGGGAAUGAAGAAACAUGCACAGUCUCCUGGAAGUACCCAAAUUGAGGUUUAUAAGGAUAAGGCAGGAAAAUCCCAGAAUCUCCCUUGGAUAUUGCAUAGGAGCAUCUAAACAAAUUAAUAUCCAAGGAGAUGUCAACAUUUAUUUCAGUAAUUCUAAAUAGUCACAAGGAGUGUUGGAAGAGAACUCUUCAGAUAUCAGGUAAUUAUCACAUUUUGGCACACGCCAGCUAACACUGCAUAGAGUAGAGACAAGCCUCUUAACUGAUGCCUGGCUAUAGGGAAUGGGGUGCUACUCUUUAUGUGAGAGUUUGAACUGAAAAACUACAAGACCCAGUUUUCCCCUGAAUCCUGCUGGACCACUCAUCUGUCAUUAGGCUAUGCUGUCUCAGAAUCACACCCUCAUGCAUCUAUAGAACAUAUUAGUAAUGGUGGGAUGAGUUUCUUGAAAACAGGUAUCUUGUUGAGUCAUCUGUAUUUUCUAAUACCGAGAAUUUCUAGGCAGGGGUGCCCUAUAAAUAUUCCUUAGCUAAUUAAAGCAGAUGCUGUGUUAUCUAUGGAAGAAAACCACCUCUUUCUGUGCAAGUUUUGCAGACAUAAGAUAGGAUACAAAGUAGAUUUAUUAAGACCUGUCUAGUUCCUGAGUUCGAAGCACAUUGACCCUUAAGAUCAUUCCAAAGUAUGCACAUCAUAGAAAAAGCAUACAAGGACUGACUCUUCAGUCCCUUCACUUUCUAUUUAAUGCUCCUCUGCAAUUUGAUACCCAAACCUUGGAAUUUAUUUAAGAAGUCAAAUCACAUUAGAGCCUCAUCACACCACCCACCUUUCUAAUUAAUGAGUCACAGCACAAAUGAAGCAAGUUUUCAGUUAAUGAGCUACAAAUAAAUCUAUCCGUAGAUACUAAUUACCACUAAUAUCCAAAUUAGUUACACUCCAGGUUUGUUCUCUUUGAAUUUACAUUAAUUUGUCUCCUUUCCCCUAAUCAGUUAAGUCUCAUCUAAAGAUAAUUGCGGAGAUGCGACUUCCAGGAUGGAGUGUGUAGAAUGUGACUUUAACGGGUGACAUCAUUAAAUAAAAACAACCCGCUAAUUAUUUAACGUCUCUGUACAUGGCUGAAGGCCAUACAGAAACGAAGAAAUAUUUACUCAAGGAAAUCCACGUGGUCAAUUAAUGUAGACAGGGCAGUGUGCUUAUACAAGGAGAGAAAUGUUUCUUCAAUAAGUGGCACCAUGAAAAAUGUAAUGGAAAAUGGAGCCUUAUCUUCUAUAAGGAUAGCUCCAAAUAGAUUAAAGACAAUCAGGUGAGUAUAAGUCCAUAAAACCCUUAGAAUAAGGUAGGACUAAGCCCCUUGAACUUGGACUUGGUGAUGGGUUUUAUCUAGAACACCUGAGAUCCAGGCAACAAAAGCAAAAACAAAAUUGGACUGUGUCAAACUGCAAAGCUUCUGCAAAAGAAAGGAAAUGUUAACAAAAUGGAAAGACAAGUGUCGAAUGGGAGGAGAACAUUUGUUAGUCAUUGAUGUGAUAAGAAG
ensembl:lncRNA